CUUAAAUUCAUCUCUUUCAUCUACGUUCUGUCAGGGAUUUUUUUCUCAGUGCAGAAUAGCUUCAGGCUUCAACUUUUCUUCCUCCACUAUUCCCAAACCUUACAGACAGUCUGAAAUGCAAAUAUAUUUUUGUUCUUUACCUACCAACAUGACUGCCUAUUAAAUUAUUCUGCUAAUCCCACAAAAGAUCUCCUCAGGAUUCUUUCUAAGCCCCACUAUGUUCUGGAAAAGUAACCAGAUUUUACUUCUUUUGGGUCUUUGUCCAGAGUAGAAGAGGCCAAACAUAAUUGCAAGCAAAAAAGAAACAACAGCCCUGGCAGUAUUAGAUCCUGCUCUUAAUUAUGCACUCUACAUUCACUGUGACUUCCUUUGAAGCUUUCUUCUCUCAGAAUUGCUGCAUUGAUUGUUUUUGGGUUUUUUUUUUCAGCUCAGAAGAACCACAUUAUGUCAUUCCACAGGAUGGGUUGAAAAUUAAAUACUUUUACAUUUCUUUGAUGCAUGACUGCAGUGUGCGUAGCACGUAAUUCACUGCAUUGGAGUUACAAUACAGCUAUUGUUACAAAAGGGCAAGAAGGUGUCGAGAUAUUUAGUGUGUACAGCAACCAUUAUGAUUUUGUCUGGAUUUCUGGAACUUAAUGUUAAAGUGUAUUUUCUCCUUAAGGUUAUGAGUGUAUGGCACAUCCUGGCCUCUUUUGCCUCUUGUUCUUAAUGUGCAGGGAAGUGCAUGCUACAUGGAGGAGGAAGCAGAAAGAACAGAAUCUUCAACUGAGAGACAUUUUCUCAGACAUAUACUUGUUCUGAGGGAUCUCAUCCUCUUCAUCUAAGAAACCUACUGUCUCUAUUUCGGGGCUCCCCAGUUACAAGGAAGAUAGUAGCUUACUGGACCAAGUCAGUGGAUGAUCUCUGCUAUGAUUAGGAGUCUGAAGUCCAAGACAUACAAGGAGAAGUUGAGAACCUAUCUUUGAAAGCUUUGUUUGUUCAGAGAGCCCUGGCCAGCUGCUCAGAAAUGGAUGAUCUCCAUGUGAUAAUGUGAUAAUGUGAUGAACUGUAGUAUCCUGACAUAAAAUUCCAUUGCUGAAAGAAGGAAAGAUCAGAAUUUCUUGGAGAAGAGAGGCUUCUUGGAGAAGUGUUACUAG
rnacentral:lncRNA from 1 species